ensembl:scaRNA
AAGCAGAAUAGAAAUACAUACACAAGUAUAAUUGGUUUUCACUUUCUAAAGAACAAUCUAGCCUCCUAAAUGACAAGGUAGAUAGAACAGGUCUUGUUUGCAAAAUAAAUUCAAGACCUACUUACCUACUAACAGAA